UAUAUCAGCCAUAUCACCCUGCAAUUCACAACUGGCAACCCACUGAUGCUAAGCAGGUGUGAGCCUGGUCAGUACCUGGAUGGGAGACCUCCUGGGAAAAACUAAGGUUGUUGCUGGAA
rnacentral:rRNA from 1 species